rnacentral:rRNA from 1 species
CCAAUAGCGUAUAUUAAAGUUGUUGCAGUUAAAAAGCUCGUAGUUGAAUUUCGGGGUUAGUAGGUUGGUCAUGCCUCUGGUAUGUACUGGUCUCACUGAUUCCUCCUUCCUGAUGAACCUUAAUGCCAUUUAUUUGGUGUUUUGGGGAAUUUGAACUGUUACUUUGAAAAAAUUAGAGUGUUUAAAGCAAGCUAACGCUUGAAUACAUUAGCAUGGAAUAAUGAAAUAGGACGUUCGAUCCUAUUUUGUUGGUUUCUAGGAUUGACGUAAUGAUUAAUAGGGAUAGUUGGGGGCAUUAGUAUUCAAUUGUCAGAGGUGAAAUUCUUGGAUUUAUUGAAGACUAACUACUGCGAAAGCAUUUGCCAAGGAUGUUUUCAUUAAUCAAGAACGAAAGUUAGGGGAUCGAAGACGAUCAGAUACCGUCGUAGUCUUAACCAUAAACUAUGCCGACUAGGGAUCGGAUGAUGUUAAUUUUUUAAUGACUCAUUCGGCGCCUUACG